rnacentral:lncRNA from 1 species
GGAAGACCGGUCCCGCUCGGGAGGCUCUGCAGUCGCGCCUGGGGUCAGGGCCGGGGGCGAAUGUGGCUCGCGUUCUAGGCCUCCCUGGGUGAGAAAGUGGUAGACUGGCAGGAAGGCGGCGGAGGCGGACGAGACCAAUGCCAGCCUGGAGGAGGAAGUUGGAAAAAGACUAUGUUAGCAAGUGUCACGCCAUGCUUUUGCCAACUUUCCAAUUAAAGGUUGACAUUCCUGCAUAAGCAUUUCUCUGUGAAAAUGUCCUUGCCUCUUACAGAGGAGCAGAGGAAAAAGAUUGAAGAGAAUCGACAAAAGG